UACGGAGGGUGCAAGCGUUUAUCCGGAUUCACUGGGUUUAAAGGGUGCGUAGGUGGGAAUGUAAGUCAGUGGUGAAAUCUCCGUGCUUAACAUGGAAACUGCCAUUGAUACUAUGUUUCUUGAAUCUUCUGGAGGAUAGCGGAAUAUGUCAUGUAGCGGUGAAAUGCUUAGAUAUGACAUAGAACACCAAUUGCGAAGGCAUGCUUA
rnacentral:rRNA from 1 species